UUAAAUACUUUUGAUAAGAAUAUUAUCUUUCUGUUUUCCGAUCUAAAUAUUAAUAUUUUAACCAGAAUGUUCUCUCCCGUAAGUCUAUGAUGAAAUACACAGUAAUUCCGUGGUUAAAUCUUCAAACAUAAUUAGUUUACAUGUUAUCGAGACAACAGACAAUACCACGUUAUAAUUGACCCAGAUACACACAGUGUACAGUGGUUGUUUUAAAACAAAUAUAAUUUCGUUGUCAAGGGCCAUCAAGGGACCAUAUCAAAGACGUAGAUAACAACCUGACAAGACCUGCAUAAAUGACCGAAAACUUUAGAGACGUUCCGAGAAUUUUAUUCUGACUUCCGGCCAAGAGAUAUCGAGUGGCCCAUAGACACAUCCAAAACUCGCCAAUAUAUAAGCAUGAACCCCUCAUGCAAAAAAAAAUUAAAAAAAAUUAAGACUUAACUUAACAGUGGGUUGUUUACUGUCUUAUCCUCAGAAAAUUGAACUUGUUCUUCGUCAUCACUAUCAUAGCUGAUAAAAUUAUCAAUCGUAUUUUUCACCUUGAUGUAAAGUCCAUCCUUUUUUAUAAAAUCUGGUUUAAUACCUAUUUAUACCUGUUUUAGCUCACC
rnacentral:lncRNA from 1 species